UACGUAGGGUGCGAGCGUUGUCCGGAAUUAUUGGGCGUAAAGAGCUCGUAGGCGGUGUGUCACGGUCGGCCGUGAAAACCUGCAGCUUAACUGUGGGCGUGCGGUCGAUACGGGCAUCACUGGAGUUCGGCAGGGGAGACUGGAAUUCCUGGUGUAGCGGUGAAAUGCGCAGAUAUCAGGAGGAACACCGGUGGCGAAGGCGGGUCUCUGGGCCGAUACUGACGCUGAGGAGCGAAAGCGUGGGGAGCAAACAGG
rnacentral:rRNA from 1 species